UCCAAAUCUCCAUAAUCCUUCACUACGCAACCUUGAGCCUUGAGUUUGUCCACCACUCCCGCUUGCCGGAUCACACCCGGUCCCAUCUCCACUCCGUCUCUGGGCUGCGGGCGACAAGGUUAAGCGCGAGACACC